AAUUACAUCAUAUUCAGAUUUAUCUCCUAUUUAUAUCAAUAUUGAAUUUGUAGAGAAACAAGAUAUUUUGAAUUUACAUGCCUUUAAUUUAAUCAACAUGAUAUUGUAAAUUGUUCAUCUCUUCUAUACUUGUGAGACAGGCCUAUAAAAAGGAAUGGAAAUUGGGGUACAUUUUUGGCAUGAGCUAUGCAAACUAAAGUGCAUACUUUUAAUUAUUUAGUUGGCAUUAUGGCAACUUGGGAUUUUGCUGUAGCUACAUAAUUUUAUUGAAGGGCUCUUUACUUUCCUCAUAAAGAGUAGUGGUUGUGUUUGGUUUCUUCUUAAGGGCAAAGCCCUAAUACAGAGGGUGGUAGGACAAACCUAUUGGAAACUGUUCAGACUUGAGACUUUAUUCCCUUUUUUUUUUGAAACUGUUUUAAGUUUCUGAAAAUGUUUACUUUACUGAAACUUGUGACUAAUCUAGUGGAGUUAGAGAGUGUUAACUGCUUGUUGCUUCACUUAGUCAAAAUCACAACUUCCUUUGUUGAAAUCUAGCAGAAGGAUCCUUGCUUUAGAGCGGAAUCUGGUGAAUCUUCUCUCUUGGAGGAGAUUCUUUCUAUUCUUUAUUGCAUGGCAAUCGUGAGGUGAGAUACAAGGGGUCUAUCAAAUAAAAAUUACUACAACUGCCCUGGCUUUGUUGCUAGCCAGUAGGCACAAUAAAUUGGCAAGAGUAAACAUACUAGGCCAUCUAAUUAAGUCUAAUGUGGGAACAACGACAACAUCAAAAACUAAAUCAGCUUCAAAUCAAUGGGUAAUGUUGCCACUUCCUACAAAGGGGGAAUUUAAGGUCCUAAUUAUUGUUGUUGGAAAUGAUGAAUUUUUUCCCAGAGGAAGGAGCACUUUGGUGAAUGUUGAUGAUGUGAUUAUUGAAAUAAGUCUUGGCAGAUCCAUCUAGACUAUGAUGACAGAGGAAAGAGAGAAAAGAGAUUGGUUUAUAGCCUAACUUGAUGUAAUAUAGUUAUAGGCUUAUAGUA